CGGCAGUGCCCUGCUGUGCCAUGCCCCGCGCUGGCCCUGGGGAGGUGUUUGCUGGAUAAACAGCUGCCCCCCGGGGCCCAGGCCGCAGUGCUCCUUCGCCACCGUGUCUCCAGCAUCACCCCUUCUCCUCUGAGACCUCUUCCCAGGCCACAACACCAGGGGCCCUGAAGGAGGCCGCUGGCAAGGAAACAUGGACCCGGCUCCAGCCCAGCUACUGGAAGACCUUUCUGGAAUCGGGAGAAGACGCACCUCGGACUUGGGAGCUGAUCCUUCUUUCAAUUCCUGAUUCUGCCACCUCUUGCUAAGGAUUUCAGGCUAGUUACUUAACUUCUCUUAAACCAGCAUUAUCAAUCUGUAUAAUGUGGUAGUGAUACCACAUUGCAGGGUUGAUGGGAGGGUUAAAUUAGACGUUUAAAGUUUUAAACAGUGUCUGUACGUGGAAACCCUUGAUAAAUGGGAGCUAAUGUUUUGCUAGCUCAAUGCUGGUUCCCACGCGGGAGGCCAGUCUACCCAAGCAGAAAAUGCCUGGGGCUGUAUUAAUUAAGGCCUAAGGUUCAGAGUAAGGGAGGUGACAGUCUUGCCCUACUAGGGGUUCAUCGUGGCCUGACUAGAUGAACUGUCUUGGGACUAACACCUCAUACUGCCACCCUUCCCUCCACACUCCAGGGCUUCCUUCCUUCGAGUCUAAACAUUUUCCUGUCUCAGGAGUUGUUCCCAUUACCCUGUAUUUACUCAGUGAGCAUGGGACACCAUGCAGUGAGUGUCAGGACAGCUGGUGGAUGGGACCAUGGAGCCACCGGAGCCAUUUUCCAGAGUUUCUGUUGAGUCCACCCACAUAAGCCUUGCUUAUGCAGGUACAUGAUUAGAUCUUCUAUCUGUCUAUAGGAUAAGGGACACUUGUAUGCAACUCCCAAGGAACUUUAACAACUUGGAGUGCCCGUGCAGGAUGGCAAAGGGUCUGGGAUCCCCUGGGGCAAGGAGAAGGCAGGACAAGAGAGAAGCUUGCAGAAGGAGGUGGUUGGAGGAAGAGGAAGCAGGCCCAGGGCCAGUACUGCAAAUUACCAGGGAAGGACAGGUGGAGACACUUUCUUUCUUUUUUUUUUUUUUUUUGAGACAGAGUCUCUGUCACCCAGGCUACAGUGCAGUGGCACCGUCUCGGCUCACUGCAACCUCCGACUUCUGGGUUUACGCCAUUCUCCUGCCUCAGCCU
rnacentral:lncRNA from 10 species